UGGCUCAGGACGAACGCUGGCGGCGUGCCUAACACAUGCAAGUCGAACGAGAAACCCAUUUGUGAUCCCUUCGGGGUGAACUGUUGGGUGGAAAGUGGCGGACGGGCGAGUAACGCGUGAGUAACCUGCCCAUAAGAGGGGGAUAAUCCUUGGAAACGAGGACUAAUACCGCAUAUUGAAAUUUUAUGGCAUCAUAGAAUUUUGAAAGAUUUAUCGCUUAUGGAUGGACUCGCGUCAGAUUAGCUGGUUGGUGAGGUAACGGCUCACCAAGGCGACGAUCUGUAGCCGAACUGAGAGGUUGAUCGGCCGCAUUGGGACUGAGACACGGCCCAGACUCCUACGGGAGGCAGCAGUGGGGAAUAUUGCGCAAUGGGGGAAACCCUGACGCAGCAACGCCGCGUGCAGGAAGAAGGUCUUCGGAUUGUAAACUGUUGUCGCAGGGGAAGAAGACAGUGACGGUACCCUGUGAGAAAGUCACGGCUAACUACGUGCCAGCAGCCGCGG
rnacentral:rRNA from 1 species